GAUGAAGAACAUAGCGAAAUGCGAUAAGUAAUGCGAAUUGCAGAAUUCAGUAAGUCAUCGAAUCUUUGAACGCACAUUGCGCCCUGUGGUAUUCCGCAGGGCAUGCCUGUUCGAGCGUCAUUUCAACCCUCAAGCCCCGCUUGGUGUUGGGCCCCGCCCGCCGUGGCCGGCCCUAAAGACAGUGGCGGCGCCGCCUGGCCCUCAGCGUAGUACAGCUCUCGCUCCAGGGUCCGGCGGCCGCCUGCCAGAACCCCCCCAACUCUGUGGUUGACCUCGGAUCAGGUAGGGAUACCCGCUGAACUUAAGCAUAUCAAUAAGCGGAGGA
rnacentral:misc_RNA from 1 species